UACGUAGGGGGCAAGCGUUGUCCGGAAUCAUUGGGCGUAAAGCGCGUGUAGGCGGCUCGAUAAGUCUGCUGUGAAAGUUCAGGGCUCAACCCUGAAAUGCCGGUGGAAACUGUCGAGCUAGAAUCCGGAAGAGGCGAGUGGAAUUCCUGGUGUAGCGGUGAAAUGCGCAGAUAUCAGGAGGAACACCAAUGGCGAAGGCAGCUCGCUGGGACGGUACUGACGCUGAGACGCGAAAGCGUGGGGAGCAAACAGG
rnacentral:rRNA from 1 species